rnacentral:lncRNA from 1 species
AGUAGAUCGUGCUUUGUGAGUCUCACCCUCUUCCUACGAAAAUAUGUCCUUCAGUCUCUUUUGAAAGGAAGCAGUCAAAAGUUUGCUAAAUAUACGAAAAGGAAUUCUCAGUCGAGAGGGGCUUCCUGCUGCACUGGAGUAUCUAAUGAGCUGUGCACACGGAAACCUCAGGGAAGGAGAGAACCUGUCAUGUUCACGGGCUGUAAACACAGCCUGAGAUUAACACUGUGCAGACAUCCCCGCUCCAGUAAUGCCUUGGAAUGCCACAGAGCUCUUGGAAACCAGAAGGGUGGCACACGGCUGCCAGAGUGUGUCUUGUGUGGACUAGGAGAAGUCAGCUGAAAUGGCAGGCUGGCUCACACUGAGCUCUUAGCCGCUGUCGCAGUAAGGGAUGGAAGCAGAAGGUGGAAAGCUGGAGAAGCUCCGAUCUCUCACUGGAGAGAGGGGAGGCUGUGAAGGCGCUCGCUGAAUGCCGGCAGAGCGGAGCGAGCCAAAAUGUGGAGCCAGCCCCCAGCAGCACAGCAGCAGGGAGUUCUCAGGAGGAUUCCUGCAGCAGCCUACUGCUUUUAAAAGCUGGUCAAUAAACAUUAGAUAAAAAUGGAUGUUUCUUUGUCA